AUGGCCGUUGCGGGUCAAAGUGUAGUGUCUGUUCUUAUCAGCUUAAUAUCUGAUACGGGUUGUAUUUAGACCCAAGAUAUUCAGCUUAUUUUUGCAAGUUGGUGAAGUGCUUGAAGCGUGCUUCACCUCCGCCGCGGGUCGGCCCGGUAUUGCUUGAUCUUCGGGAGUUUUUGUCUACGGACA